rnacentral:rRNA from 1 species
CCUACGGGUGGCAGCAGUGGGGAAUAUUGGACAAUGGGGGGAACCCUGAUCCAGCGACGCCGCGUGAGUGAAGAAGUAUUUCGGUAUGUAAAGCUCUAUCAGCAGGGAAGAAAGAAAUGACGGUACCUGACUAAGAAGCCCCGGCUAACUACGUGCCAGCAGCCGCGGUAAUAAGUAGGGGGCAAGCGUUAUCCGGAUUUAAUGGGUGUAAAGGGAGCGUAGACGGUUACGCAAGUCGGGAGUGAAAGGCGGGGGCCCAACCCCCGGACUGCUGUGGAAACUGUAUAACUGGGGUGCAGGAGAGGUAGGUGAAUUCCUAGUGUAGCGGUGAAAUGCGUAGAUAUUAGGAGGAACACCAGUGGCGAAGGCGGCUUACUGGACUGUAACUGACGUUGAGGCUCGAAAGCGUGGGGAGCAAACAGGAUUAGAUACCCCAGUAGUC